GGGGUAGCCUUGUUGGAGGAAGUGUGCCACUGGGGAUAGGUUGUGAAGUUUCAGACGCCCAAGUCAGGCCCGGUGGCUGUGCUCUUCCUGCUGCCUGCAACUCCU
rnacentral:miRNA from 1 species